UACGAAGGGGGCUAGCGUUGCUCGGAAUUACUGGGCGUAAAGCGCACGUAGGCGGCUUUCUAAGUCGGGGGUGAAAUCCUGGAGCUCAACUCCAGAAUUGCCUUCGAUACUGUCGAGCUUGAGACCGGAAGAGGUAAGUGGAACUGCGAGUGUAGAGGUGAAAUUCGUAGAUAUUCGCAAGAACACCAGUGGCGAAGGCGGCUUACUGGUCCGGUUCUGACGCUGAGGCGCGAAAGCGUGGGGAGCAAACAGG
rnacentral:rRNA from 1 species